rnacentral:rRNA from 1 species
AUUGAACGCUGGCGGCAGGCCUAACACAUGCAAGUCGAACGAGUGGCGGACGGGUGAGUAAUGUCUGGGAAACUGCCUGAUGGAGGGGGAUAACUACUGGAAACGGUAGCUAAUACCGCAUACCAUCGGAUGUGCCCAGAUGGGAUUAGCUGGUAGGUAGGGUAAAGGCUCACCUAGGCGACGAUCCCUAGCUGGUCUGAGAGGAUGACCAGCCACACUGGGACUGAGACACGGUCCAGACUCCUACGGGAGGCAGCAGUGGGGAAUAUUGCACAAUGGGCGCAAGCCUGAUGCAGCCAUGCCGCGUGUAUGAAGAAGGCCUUCGGGUUGUAAAGUACUUUCAGUGGGGAGGCGUUACCCGCAGAAGAAGCACCGGCUAACUCCGUGCCAGCAGCCGCGGUAAUAC